GGCUGAAACAGUUACGCUGUGUAGGAGGGACUGGCUAGUCCACAAUGCGUUCAGGGAUGGGAGAAAAACGUGCUCUGGUUUAUUAGCAUCUCUUUAAACCAAUCACAAUCAUC